AAGCAGUGAUGAUAUAUGCGGUACAGUGGCUGGAUAGGGUCCGCCACAUUUCAUCAGACAUCGAUGAUAUAUGCCCGCAUCUGAGCUU